rnacentral:misc_RNA from 1 species
ACAAUUGGUGGCCUAUGCUAAGUGGUAAGUGACUCAGGUUUCCAACACAAGAUCGUUAUAGUUUGUUUAUUUAUUUUAUAAUUUUUGUGGUUGAGGAGUAUCUUCUUCUUCACUGUUUUUUAUAAGUUUGAUUCUUUAGAAUUAUGAUAUUUGUUGAAUGACUUGCUGCAUGAUGGCCAUGUAAUGCAAUUAACUAAUUACUAAUGCGAAUAUAAGGUUUGUGGUUAUUUGGGAUCCAAAUGUCCUUUCCCCUUCCCUUGAACCAUGAUCUGGAUCUUGCUGUCUGAUUCAUGGAGCUCUGAUGCACUAACUCACCAAAGAUGUUGAUCCCAAGCAUUUUUUUUUGGGUUUAAAA